AGGCACCACCACCCUUUUUGCUCCUAAACUAACCACUCUCUGCAACGAACACAUAUAUCAGAUAUGCGAUUGAUAUCAAAGUCACAACAAUUAAUGUAUCGUGACUUAAACUUACACGAACAGCAGCCAUAACUGCAUCCACUACUCUAGGAAGUAAUUUGCUCCUUAUUUCUUGCAUUGAUUUUCCUUGAAAGAGGGCAUUGUAGUAGUCGCUCCCACCAAACGGCCCCAAUAUAAAUAGUGAGUUUUGGAGUUUGCCGCCGCAAUCUGAUGAAUAGCCAAUCAAUUGAUAGGGAGUGGAAAUAAGCAGACAUCCAAUCCAAUUGCACCGACAGAGAAUUGUUUGUCUUGGACGAAGAAAUAUUAAGAUCAGCCAAUGCAUUGGACGGCAAGGCAGUGGAGCCUGCGACGGCGAAGUUGACGCCGUGACUGAAAUCAGCACCACACUGUUUGAAGGGCGGCAGUAGAGGAAGACCAGCUUCCAUUGCUGCAAACAGAUAAUUAACUAAUUCAAUUUUAUGAAGAAAUUAAUUAUUA